rnacentral:rRNA from 1 species
GACGAACGCUGGCGGCGCGCCUAACACAUGCAAGUCGAACGGAGCUGAGAGAAGCUUACUUUUCUUAGCUUAGUGGCGAACGGGUGAGUAACGCGUGAGUAACCUGCCCUGGAGUGGGGGACAACAGUUGGAAACGACUGCUAAUACCGCAUAAGCCCACGAUCCGGCAUCGGAUUGAGGGAAAAGGAUUUAUUCGCUUCAGGAUGGACUCGCGUCCAAUUAGCUAGUUGGUGAGGUAACGGCCCACCAAGGCGACGAUUGGUAGCCGGACUGAGAGGUUGAACGGCCACAUUGGGACUGAGACACGGCCCAGACUCCUACGGGAGGCAGCAGUGGGGGAUAUUGCACAAUGGGGGAAACCCUGAUGCAGCGACGCCGCGUGGAGGAAGAAGGUUUUCGGAUUGUAAACUCCUGUCGUUAGGGACGAUAAUGACGGUACCUAACAAGAAAGCACCGGCUAACUACGUG